AGUGAACGCUGGCGGUAUGCCUAACACAUGCAAGUCGAACGGCCGCACAGUAAGAGCUUUCCUUUGCCGUUGGCGAGUGGCGGACGGGUGAGGCAUACAUCGGCUUCUUCUUUUACGUGGGUGAUUACGUAGGGCAGCUUACGCUAAUACCUCAUACGACCUACCGGUUAAAUCAGGAGUUCUUGGCGCCUUUCGCGUUUGUUUUAGCUGAUGUCGGAUUAGCUAGUUGGCUGGGUAAAGGCCCACCAAGGCAACGAUCCGUAGCUGGUCUGAGAGGAUGAUCGGCCACACUGGAACUGAGACACGGUCCAGACUCCUACGGGAGGCAGCAGUAGGGAAUAUUCGGCAAUGGGCGAAAGCCUGACGCAGCCAUGCCGCGUGAGUGAAGAAGGCCUUCGGGUUGUAAAACCCUGUUGUUGGGAAAGAAAAGCAGCAGAUUAAUACCCCGCUGUUCUGACGGUACCCAAAGAAUAAGCACCGGCUAACUUCGUG
rnacentral:rRNA from 1 species